rnacentral:rRNA from 1 species
AGUUUGAUCCUGGCUCAGAUUGAACGCUGGCGGCAUGCCUAACACAUGCAAGUCGAACGGCAGCACGGUCUAGCUUGCUAGAUGGGUGGCGAGUGGCGAACGGGUGAGUAACGCGUAGGAAUAUACCUUAAAGAGGGGGAUAACUUGGGGAAACUCAAGCUAAUACCGCAUAAUCUCUUAGGAGAAAAGCUGGGGACCUUCGGGCCUGGCGCUUUAAGAUUAGCCUGCGUACGAUUAGCUAGUUGGUGGGGUAAGGGCCUACCAAGGCGACGAUCGUUAGCUGGUCUGAGAGGAUGGCCAGCCCCACUGGAACUGAAACACGGUCCAAACUCCUACGGGAGGCAGCAGUGGCGAAUAUUGGACAAGGGGGGCAACCCUGAUCCCACAAUGCCCCCGUGUGUGCAUAAGGCCUGANGUUUGUAAACACCUUUCNGUGGGGAGGAGGAUUGAUUGGUUAAAAGCUGAUUAAUUGGACGUUCCCCCCNNNNNNNGCACCGGCUAACUCCGGCCCACCAGCCCGCGGUAAUACGGAGGGGGCGAGCGUUAAUCGAAUUUACUGGGCGUAAAGGGGGCGUAGGGGGUUU